UAGUUUCUGGUAAGGAUGAAGGAGAAAGAAAGAGAUGUGCUAAUGAUAUUCAUGAAGUGUCAGAAGUAACAUGCAGGACAGGAAAUGAAUAAAUUACAAACAAGGAGGGGGAAGGCAUUAAGAAACUAAGCCUAGCUUUACACAAGGAGAUAAAAAGAGGGGGUAAAAUAAGCAGCAGACAGAACUAGACUUGGAAUUUCAAAGCAACAAUGACUUCUUUCUCAAAGUUCUUGUUCAGCAGACGCAGAACAGCCCACACACAGAAAUAAUAGGCAAACCAACAGCCACACACUGGGAAUACUUGCAUACAGACACACCAUAACAAACAGCACCCUCACAUGCUUUUGAGGACAGGAAAUCCAAACCUCUCUGCAUGUGAAAACAGCGACAUUAUGCCACAUGCCGAGCGAGUCACUGCAGCAUUUCACAUGUAAAUGCGCCCAAUACACGCUGGAAAGAUGCAAACUGGCUCCACGCCGACAAACACAGACACAGGAAUUACAACGACGGCGCUUUUUGGUUUAUUCCCCUGCAUCUCUUUGCAUUCAGCGUCGUCUCCUGCUGAUGCAAGAGAGGAGCGAUAACCGGCUGCACGUCCACCCACUUAAAACCAGGGUGCUGAGCCGAGCAUGUGGGGCUGCAUGUGGGCAGAGAGGCACAUAAUCUGAAACACUCACGAGCAGAUGUGAAGCAGGUUGGCCAUGCUCGCCACAUCGUAUCUCAUUACUCCAUCAUUUAUGGGCAGCAGAGCAGAACUGACGGGAUUUAUCUGCA